rfam:Rattus norvegicus chromosome 8, whole genome shotgun sequence.
GGGGAUUUGGCUCAGUGGUAGAGCGCUUGCCUAGGAAGCGCAAGGUCCUGGGUUCGAUCCCCAGCUCCG